CCUGAAGACUUUACUGUGAUGGGGCCGCGAUGCAGUGCAAGGCAUCAAAAAACAAGGUGCCAUGUUCUCAAACAGAGAGGCUGAUAAACCUCCAAAAGAAUCAAGACUUCAUAACUCUAAACGAUCGGAGGUGAGGGACUCUAUGCAUACAGCCUGCAAAAUCAGCACUGCACUGGAUAACAAGGCCCACAGCUCCGAGGCCCCCAGAUGAGCUACCAUCCCCAUCCGGCUCAUCAGUCACCCUGGGCAGUCUCUCCCCAAACGGGACCCCCUGACGCCCAAGUAAUGGCUGUUUGAUGACCCUCAU